UACGUAGGGUGCAAGCGUUAAUCGGAAUUACUGGGCGUAAAGCGUGCGCAGGCGGUCCGUUAAGACAGAUGUGAAAUCCCCGGGCUUAACCUGGGAAUUGCAUUUGUGACUGCACGGCUAGAGUGUGUCAGAGGGGGGUAGAAUUCCACGUGUAGCAGUGAAAUGCGUAGAUAUGUGGAGGAAUACCGAUGGCGAAGGCAGCCCCCUGGGAUAACACUGACGCUCAUGCACGAAAGCGUGGGGAGCAAACAGG
rnacentral:rRNA from 1 species